rnacentral:rRNA from 1 species
ACAAGCCCUGGAAACGGGGUCUAAUACCGGAUACUGAUCCGCUUGGGCAUCCAAGUGGUUCGAAAGCUCCGGCGGUGCAGGAUGAGCCCGCGGCCUAUCAGCUUGUUGGUGAGGUAAUGGCUCACCAAGGCGACGACGGGUAGCCGGCCUGAGAGGGCGACCGGCCACACUGGGACUGAGACACGGCCCAGACUCCUACGGGAGGCAGCAGUGGGGAAUAUUGCACAAUGGGCGAAAGCCUGAUGCAGCGACGCCGCGUGAGGGAUGACGGCCUUCGGGUUGUAAACCUCUUUCAGCAGGGAAGAAGCGAAAGUGACGGUACCUGCAGAAGAAGCGCCGGCUAACUACGUGCCAGCAGCCGCGGUAAUACGUAGGGCGCAAGCGUUGUCCGGAAUUAUUGGGCGUAAAGAGCUCGUAGGCGGCUUGUCACGUCGGUUGUGAAAGCCCGGGGCUUAACCCCGGGUCUGCAGUCGAUACGGGCAGGCUAGAGUUCGGUAGGGGAGAUCGGAAUUCCUGGUGUAGCGGUGAAAUGCGCAGAUAUCAGGAGGAACACCGGUGGCGAAGGCGGAUCUCUGGGCC